rnacentral:rRNA from 1 species
GACGAACGCUGGCGGCGUGCUUAACACAUGCAAGUCGAACGAUGAAGAAGAGAAACGCGAACUUCGGUUCAAAUUUCACUUCGGAUUAGUGGCAGACGGGUGAGUAACGCGUGAGCAACCUACCUCUUACAAAGGGAUAGCCUCGGGAAACCGUGAUUAAUACCAUAUGACACAUUCAUAAGGCAUCUUAAGAAUGUUAAAGCUACGGCGGUAAGAGAUGGGCUCGCGUCCCAUUAGCUAGUUGGUGAGGUAACGGCCCACCAAGGCGACGAUGGGUAACCGGCCUGAGAGGGUGAACGGUCACAUUGGAACUGAGACACGGUCCAAACUCCUACGGGAGGCAGCAGUGGGGAAUAUUGCACAAUGGAGGGAACUCUGAUGCAGCGACGCCGCGUGAGCGAUGAAGGAAUUCGUUUCGUAAAGCUCUGUUCUAUGGGAAGAAAAGGACUGCACCAUAGGAGAAAGCCCCGGCUAAAUACGUG